rnacentral:rRNA from 1 species
AGUGAACGCUGGCGGUAGGCCUAACACAUGCAAGUCGAACGGCAGCACAGGAGAGCUUGCUCUCUGGGUGGCGAGUGGCGGACGGGUGAGGAAUACAUCGGAAUCUACUCUGUCGUGGGGGAUAACGUAGGGAAACUUACGCUAAUACCGCAUACGACCUACGGGUGAAAGCAGGGGACCUUCGGGCCUUGCGCGAUUGAAUGAGCCGAUGUCGGAUUAGCUAGUUGGCGGGGUAAAGGCCCACUAAGGCGACGAUCCGUAGCUGGACUGAGAGGAUGAUCAGCCACACUGGAACUGAGACACGGUCCAGACUCCUACGGGAGGCAGCAGGAGGGAAUAUUGGACAAUGGGCGCUAGCCUGAUCCAGCCAUACCGCGUGGGUGAAGAAGGCCUUCGGGUUGUAAAGCCCUUUUGUUGGGAAAGAAAUCCAGCUGGCUAAUACCCGGUUGGGAUGACGGUACCCAAAGAAUAAGCACCGGCUAACUUCGUGCCAGCCGCCGCAGUAA